CAGUCGCCGCGGGAAUACGUAGGUGGCGAGCGUUGUCCGGAUUUAUUGGGCGUAAAGGGAGUGUAGGCGGUCUUUUAAGUCUGAUGUGAAAGCCCACGGCUCAACCGUGGAGGGUCAUUGGAAACUGGGAAACUUGAGUGCAGAAGAGGAGAGUGGAAUUCCACGUGUAGCGGUGAAAUGCGUAGAGAUGUGGAGGAACACCAGUGGCGAAGGCGACUCUCUGGUCUGUAACUGACGCUGAGGAGCGAAAGCGUGGGGAGCGAACAGGAUUAGAUACCCCGGUAGUCCCUGUCUCUUAUAC
rnacentral:rRNA from 1 species